AACGAGAGCGACCGGUGCUUGCACUGGUCAAUCUAGUGGCGAACGGGUGAGUAACACGUGGGUAACCUGCCCAUCAGAGGGGGAUAACAUCCGGAAACGGAUGCUAAAACCGCAUAGGUCUUCGAGCCGCAUGGCUUGAAGAGGAAAAGAGGCGCAAGCUUCUGCUGAUGGAUGGACCCGCGGUGCAUUAGCUAGUUGGUGAGGUAACGGCUCACCAAGGCCGUGAUGCAUAGCCGACCUGAGAGGGUGAUCGGCCACAUUGGGACUGAGACACGGCCCAAACUCCUACGGGAGGCAGCAGUAGGGAAUCUUCCGCAAUGGACGCAAGUCUGACGGAGCAACGCCGCGUGAGUGAAGAAGGUUUUCGGAUCGUAAAACUCUGUUGUUAGAGAAGAACAAGUGCUAGAGUAACUGUUAGCGCCUUGACGGUAUCUAACCAGAAAGCCACGGCUAACUACGUGCCAGCAGCCGCGGUAAUACGUAGGUGGCAAGCGUUGUCCGGAUUUAUUGGGCGUAAAGCGAGCGCAGGCGGUUCCUUAAGUCUGAUGUGAAAGCCCCCGGCUCAACCGGGGAGGGUCAUUGGAAACUGGGGAACUUGAGUGCAGAAGAGGAGAGUGGAAUUCCAUGUGUAGCGGUGAAAUGCGUAGAUAUAUGGAGGAACACCAGUGGCGAAGGCGACUCUCUGGUCUGUAACUGACGCUGA
rnacentral:rRNA from 1 species